GAGGUCAGUCAUGUCUCCAAGUUCUCCUGGAGUAGUUUCUACUAUUUAAUAAGCAGGCCUAGGAAAGACUAUCCACCAUUACUGCGAUUUGUUGUCUGAAACAGUGAAUGAAGAUGGCAUCUCCCGCCUGUAUGAAGCUUUUCAAGAAGUGCCUUUGAAAUCUGACAGGACCAGAAGGUACAUCCUCAAUAGACAUUACAAAUGGUUGCAGAAACUUGGAAAUCUCGUGUCAGGUUCUGCAUUAGACUAGGGAACCAGGACCAAC